CACAAACACACACAGCACCCUCACACACAGCACACAAACAGCACCCUCACACACACAGCACACUAACAGUACCCUCACAAACACAAACAGGACCCUAACAAACACACACACAGCACACUACCAGUACCCUCACACACAAACAGCACCCUCACACACAGUACAUUAACAGCACCCUCACACACAGUACAUUAACAGCAUCCUCACAAGCAC